AAUCAACGCUGGCGGCGCGCUUAACACAUGCAAGUCGCACGAGAAAGUGGAGCAAUCCAUGAGUACAGUGGCGUACGGGUGAGUAACACGUGGGUAAUCUACCUCUUAGUGGGGAAUAACUCUGGGAAACCGGAGCUAAUACCGCAUAAGCCUGGAAAGGGAAAGCAGCAAUGCGCUGAGAGAGGAGCCCGCGGCCGAUUAGCUAGUUGGUAGGGUAAAAGCCUACCAAGGCAAUGAUCGGUAGCCGGCCUGAGAGGGCACACGGCCACACUGGCACUGAAACACGGGCCAGACUCCUACGGGAGGCAGCAGUGGGGAAUCUUGCACAAUGGGGGCAACCCUGAUGCAGCGACGCCGCGUGAGCGAUGAAG
rnacentral:rRNA from 1 species